GGCCUCGCAGCUCGACGGACGAGCAGGCGGUUUCUACCCGCAAGGAUGGGGGUUCGAAUCCCUCCGAGGUCACCA
rnacentral:tRNA from 1 species